ensembl:antisense Vax2os ventral anterior homeobox 2, opposite strand
GGAUUAGCGGGUUCAAAAGCAGGUCAGGGGGAGCUAAGCGUGGCGACCAAGUCCGUGCUAGGUCAAGGUCCCUGGCAAAGGCUGGCUCGAGCGAUCUGCAGGAAGCCGUACCAGUCUGCAGCUGCCCAGCCAGGGACCAGAGAAAUGCAACAGGAACCCAUGCUUGUCUGCAAUAAUUUACAGGACCCCGUUCGAGCUCCCUGGUUGAGGUGUGCUCACCUUGAAAGACAGGGUUUCUCUUUUACAUUUUAACCUUUUCUUUCUUUUCUUCUUUAUGUUUGAGACAGGACCUCACUCCGUAGCCCAGGUUGGCCUCCAGCUCAGGGCCAUCCUCCUGUGGAACCCCUGAGAUCACAGGCGUGUCUCACCAAGUCCCACCUCUUUGUUUUUAUACUCCCUCCUUUCUGACCAGAUAAAUACAUCGACCCACGCAGGGGAGAAGUUUCCUACUUCCAGCUCUGGGGAAAGUACGGAAGGUGGCAAGGAGCUGUGGAAAGCGGAGGUGGCUUGGGAGAGGCCUGGGCUGUGGAGUCCCCGGGCGGCUCCCGCGACUUCUCUGGAAUGCUUCCGAGCUGCAGGCCCUGGAUGCUGGCGUGCAGG